rnacentral:rRNA from 1 species
CCUACGGGAGACAGCAGUGGGGAAUAUUUGGCAAUGGGCGCAAGCCUGACCCAGCAACGCCGCGUGAAGGAAGAAGGCUUUCGGGUUGUAAACUUCUUUUGUCAGGGACGAAGCACGUGACGUUACCUGACGAAUACGCCACGGCUAACUACGUGCCAGCAGCCGCGGUAAUACGUAGGUGGCAAGCUUUAUCCGGAUUUACUGGGUGUAAAGGGCGUGUAGUGGGGACUGCAAGUCAGAUGUGAAAACCACGGGCUCAACCUGUGGCCUGCAUUUGAAACUGUCGUUCUUGAGUACUGGAGAGGCAGACGGAAUUCCUAGUGUAGCGGUGAAAUGCGUAGAUAUUAGGAGGAACACCAGUGGCGAAGGCGGUCUGCUGGACAGCAACUGACGCUGAGGCGCGAAAGCGUGGGGAGCAAACAGGAUUAGAUACCCUUGUAGUC